UCCUCAGUAGCUCAGUGGUAGAGCAAUCGGCUGUUAACCGAUCGGUCGUAGGUUCAAGUCCUUCCUGGGGAG
rnacentral:tRNA from 2 species